UUUAACAGCCAUGAUGUCCCUCUUACAAUUUAUUCGCUUUUUGGAUAAAAAAAAUGAUUUUUCUUGCGUUAUUUGAGUUUAUUCUGUUUCUUAAGGCGUGUUUAAUCUUCUGAAAAUGUCUGUUAUUAAUCAUAAACACGACCCAGCAUAUAAAGACCACUUAAAAGAAGAAACCUCUUUGUCACCUCUUAUACUCUGAUGUUUGCAGAGAUAUUUGGCUAUUAUUCUGGUUUACGAGAUUAGUUUUCUAUAAUCCUAUUAAAAAGAUUUUAUACAACAAAUCGAAGGAUGUAUACAGUUCCAGGUUCCAGGGCAGUAUAUUUAUUCUUGGCAAUAUCGAGCCAAAUAAUACAUCAGGAUAUAAGGAUGACUAAAAUUUUAUUUCUUGUGGAUUUUGUACAACAAAUCGAUGGAUGUAUACAGUUCCAAGGCAGUACAUUUAUCCUAUUCACGAAUAUUACCAACAAUGCAUGAGGAUUUAUAGUAUACUAGCGUGAACCAGCGACCUCGUUCGCGUCGAAUUAAUCAUUUGUAAUGGUGAUGAUAAAGCAAAGCAAGAAAAUUUCCAUUAACAUACAAACUGGAUAAAAUUUUCUCACAUUUAUGUCAGCAUGAGAAAAAACAA